GAUGAACGCUGGCGGCGUGCUUAACACAUGCAAGUCGAACGGAAAGGCCCAAGCUUGCUUGGGUACUCGAGUGGCGAACGGGUGAGUAACACGUGUGUGAUCUGCCCUGCACUUCGGGAUAAGCCUGGGAAACUGGGUCUAAUACCGGAUAGGACGAUGGUUUGGAUGCCAUUGUGGAAAGUUUUUUCGGUGUGGGAUGAGCUCGCGGCCUAUCAGCUUGUUGGUGGGGUAAUGGCCUACCAAGGCGUCGACGGGUAGCCGGCCUGAGAGGGUGUACGGCCACAUUGGGACUGAGAUACGGCCCAGACUCCUACGGGAGGCAGCAGUGGGGAAUAUUGCACAAUGGGCGCAAGCCUGAUGCAGCGACGCCGCGUGGGGGAUGACGGCCUUCGGGUUGUAAACUCCUUUCGCUAGGGACGAAGCGUUUUUGUGACGGUACCUGGAGAAGAAGCACCGGCUAACUACGUG
rnacentral:rRNA from 1 species